AUUGAACGCUGGCGGCAGGCCUAACACAUGCAAGUCGAGCGAGCGGCGGACGGGUGAGUAAUGUAUGGGGACUGCCCGAUAGACGGGGAUAACUACUGGAAACGGUAGCUAAUACCGCAUACUAUCGGAUAACCCAUAUGGGAUUAGCUAGUAGGUGAAGUAAUGGCUAACCUAGGCGACGAUCCCUAGCUGGUCUGAGAGGAUGAUCAGCCACACUGGGACUGAGACACGGCCCAGGAUCUUACGGAUGCAGCAGUGGGGAAUAUUGCACAAUGGGCGCAAGCCUGAUUCAGCCAUGCCGAGUGUAUGAAGAAGGCCCAAGGGUUGUAAAGUACUUUCAGUCGGGAGGCGUUACCAACAGAAGAAGCACCGGCUAAAGCCGUGCCAGCAGCCGCGGUAAUUA
rnacentral:rRNA from 1 species